rnacentral:piRNA from 1 species
UUGCUGUACUUUCCUACAGGUGUGUGA